rnacentral:rRNA from 1 species
AGUAGCAUGCUCAAGACCCGAAGCGGAGUGAUCUAGCCAUGGGCAGGUUGAAGCGGCUGUAAGAGGUCGUGGAGGACCGAACCCACCAGGGUUGAAAACCUGGGGGAUGACCUGUGGUUAGGGGUGAAAGGCCAAUCAAACUCCGUGAUAGCUGGUUCUCCCCGAAAUGCAUUUAGGUGCAGCGUCGUGUGUUUCUUGCCGGAGGUAGAGCACUGGAUAGGCGAUGGGCCCUACCGGGUUACUGACCUUAGCCAAACUCCGAAUGCCGGUAAGUGAGAGCGCGGCAGUGAGACUGUGGGGGAUAAGCUCCAUGGUCGAGAGGGAAACAGCCCAGAGCAUCGACUAAGGCCCCUAAGCGUACGCUAAGUGGGAAAGGAUGUGGAGUCGCAGAGACAACCAGGAGGUUGGCUUAGAAGCAGCCACCCUUGAAAGAGUGCGUAAUAGCUCACUGGUCUAGUGAUUCCGCGCCGACAAUGUAGCGGGGCUCAAGCGUACCGCCGAAGUCGUGUCAUUGCAGUAUGUACCCCCAACGGGGACUGUGAUGGGUAGGGGAGCGUCGUGUGCCGGGUGAAGUCGCCGCGUAAGCGAGUGGUGGACGGUUCACGAGUGAGAAUGCAGGCAUGAGUAGCGAUACACACGUGAGAAACGUGUGCGCCGAUUGACUAAGGGUUCCUGGGUCAAGCUGAUCUGCCCAGGGUAAGUCGGGACCUAAGGCGAGGCCGACAGGCGUAGUCGAUGGAUAACCGGUUGAUAUUCCGGUACCCGCUGUAGAGCGUCAAACAUUGAAUCCUCUGAUGCUGAGGCCGUGAAGCCGUUCCGGAGCCUUCGGGCAAGGGAAAGUGGUGGAGCCGCCGGACCAAGGUGGUAGUAGGUGAGUGAUGGGGUGACGCAGGAAGGUAGUCCAUCCCGGGCGGUGGUUGUCCCGGGGUAAGGGUGUAGGCCGUGCGGUAGGUAAAUCCGUCGCACAUGGGGCUGAGACCUGAUGCCGAGCCGAUUGUGGUGAAGUGGAUGAUCCUAUGCUGUCGAGAAAAGCCUCUAGCGAGUUUUAUGGCGGCCCGUACCCUAAACCGACUCAGGUGGUCAGGUAGAGAAUACCGAGGCGUUCGGGUGAACUAUGGUUAAGGAACUCGGCAAAAUGCCCCCGUAACUUCGGGAGAAGGGGGGCCAUGUCUGGUGAUGAGUUUUGCACUCUGAGCUGGGUGUGGCCGCAGAGACCAGCGAGAAGCGACUGUUUACUAAAAACACAGGUCCGUGCGAAGCCGUAAGGCGAUGUAUACGGACUGACGCCUGCCCGGUGCUGGAACGUUAAGGGGACCGGUUAGUGCACUUUCGGGUGUGCGAGGCUGAGAACUUAAGCGCCAGUAAACGGCGGUGGUAACUAUAACCAUCCUAAGGUAGCGAAAUUCCUUGUCGGGUAAGUUCCGACCUGCACGAAUGGCGUAACGACUUCUCGACUGUCUCAACCAUAGGCCCGGUGAAAUUGCACUACGAGUAAAGAUGCUCGUUUCGCGCAGCAGGACGGAAAGACCCCGGGACCUUUACUACAGUUUGAUAUUGGUGUUCGGUUCGGCUUGUGUAGGAUAGGUGGGAGACUGUGAACUCUGGACGCCAGUUCAGGGGGAGUCGUCGUUGAAAUACCACUCUGGUCGUGCUGGAUGUCUAACCUGGGUCCGUGAUCCGGAUCAGGGACAGUGUCUGAUGGGUAGUUUAACUGGGGCGGUUGCCUCCUAAAGAGUAACGGAGGCGCCCAAAGGUUCCCUCAGCCUGGUUGGUAAUCAGGUGUUGAGUGUAAGUGCACAAGGGAGCUUGACUGUGAGACCGACGGGUCGAGCAGGGACGAAAGUCGGGACUAGUGAUCCGGCGGUGGCUUGUGGAAGCGCCGUCGCUCAACGGAUAAAAGGUACCCCGGGGAUAACAGGCUGAUCUUCCCCAAGAGUCCAUAUCGACGGGAUGGUUUGGCACCUCGAUGUCGGCUCGUCGCAUCCUGGGGCUGGAGUCGGUCCCAAGGGUUGGGCUGUUCGCCCAUUAAAGCGGUACGCGAGCUGGGUUUAGAACGUCGUGAGACAGUUCGGUCCCUAUCCGCUGUGCGCGUAGGAAUAUUGAGAAGGGCUGUCCCUAGUACGAGAGGACCGGGACGGACGAACCUCUGGUGUGCCAGUUGUCCUGCCAAGGGCAUGGCUGGUUGGCUACGUUCGGGAGGGAUAACCGCUGAAAGCAUCUAAGCGGGAAGCCUGCUUCGAGAUGAGUAUUCCCACCUCCUUGAGGGGUUAAGGCUCCCAGUAGACGACUGGGUUGAUAGGCCAGAUAUGGAAGCCCAGUAAUGGGUGGAGUUGACUGGUACUAAUAGGCCGAGGGCUUGUCCUCAGUUG